GCACUGCUGACGAGUCCCAAACAGGACGAAACAUUUGUGCAAUGC
rnacentral:hammerhead_ribozyme from 1 species